rnacentral:rRNA from 1 species
UACGAAGGGGGCUAGCGUUGUUCGGAAUUAUUGGGCGUAAAGGGUGCGUAGGCGGUUUGGUAAGUCUGAUGUGAAAUCUAUGGGCUCAACUCAUAGUCUGCAUCGGAAACUGCCGGGCUUGAGUGUGGGAGAGGUGAGUGGAAUUCCUGGUGUAGCGGUGAAAUGCGUAGAUAUCAGGAGGAACACCUGUGGCGAAAGCGGCUCACUGGACCAUAACUGACGCUGAUGCACGAAAGCUAGGGGAGCAAACAGG